rnacentral:lncRNA from 1 species
CAAAAGCACCGGAUCUAGGGUGGGGAGAGUCCCCCACCUCCUACUCCAUUUAGGGCUUGUUUGGUUCAUCCAUUUUGGGUAUGGAAUGAAAAUCGGUUUGAUUAAAUCUGGUUAAUUUUUUUUGGUUCGCAUGAAUCUGUUUGGGAUUCCUAUUCUGGACUGGAAUGAGAAUGACCCAUUAGCCUUCAACUUGAUUCCGGUCUUCUAGCCCGGAUUGAGAUUUCAUUCCGGAAGCCCACUAAGUUCUCGAAGCCCAUGUGACCAUCUCACCCUCCAUCUCUUCACCCCUUUCUCAUCAAAAAAAAAAACCUAUCCUCUCUCAAAACCUUAUCCCUAACCCACAACAAUAAAAGUUUUUAAAAAUAAAUUUGAUAUUUUUUUUGGAAAACUUAUUAGAGAAUAGUAUUAUAUUUUUCAUAAAUUUAAAAUAAUAUAAAUUUAUAUUUGAGAGUAAAAUUAGUAUUAUAGUAUCCUAUAAUUUUUUUAGUUUAUACGAACCAAACAAUGAAAUGUAAAUAACUAAUUCUAAUUCCCAAUCCACAAAUAAACAAAACGUCCUGGGGGAGUGGGCCAUUCCAAUUACCAUUCCAAUUCAUUCCUAUUCCAUUAUCGAUUCCAAUUCCAUCCUUAAACCAAACAAGCCCUUAUUGUUAGGUUGGGGUGGAUUCGGAGUGAAUUAAUUUUAAUCCUAUUUUUGGCUCCCACUUAUCACUCCAUUCGGGGCACAUGAAGGUGGGAGCAGAUUAUUGGGGGAUUAGGGAGGAUCAAAGGAAAAAAAAGAAAGAGGUCUCCCACCUUCCGCUUCAUUACUUGGUGGAUCGAGAUGAAUUCGGAGCGAAUUAUAUUUUUCUAUAUUUUUAGUUCCCACUUACCGUCCCAUCUGGCGCGCAUCUGGACGGGAGCUCCACCAACGGGGAUCUAUUUGCAUCCCUGAUUCUGCCAUACCUGAUAACUGGUGACGAAUCUAUAAAAUUCCUUACUAAAUAUCUAAGGCUCUUUGACGCCAGGCGAAAAAAUUGGUGCGAUAAUCAAUAGCGGGGAAAAAUAUUUGCAACAAAAAUUUUUAUUAUUUUUUCUGGCAAAAUUACAACUAUUGUCACAAAAAAUAAACUAUUUUGUGGCCAUACAUCAGAAAUCGUCGCAAAUAAAUACCAAUAAUAUUUAUAUUUUUUUAAAAAUAUGACAAAAGGCUCUAUUGUGACGAAACAUAAUCGCUACGAUAAAUAAUCUAAUAUUUUAUGACAAUUUUUUAUAUUUCUACAGAAAUGACUAACGUAUUUAUUGCGAUUUUCGAGACAUCGCUGCUAUUUCAUUUUUAAAAUAUUCGCAAACAAAGUUUGUAGGGAAAAAAUCAAAAAGUGUACCUUUAAUGAAGUUUUUUAGUUUGUCACAAAAAAGUCUCCACAAAAUAUUGUAUUUCUAUUGGCUACAGUUGGU